AUGGCUGUCCGGAACGUCAUCCGGGAUUUCAGUACCAGAUGUGAUGUGGUGAUGACCCAGACUCCAGCCUCCGCGUCUGCAGCUGUGGGAGGCACAGUCACCAUCAAUUGCCAGGCCAGUCAGAGUGUUAGUUACUUAACCUGGUAUCAGCAGAAAGCAGGGCAGCCUUCCAAGCUCCUGAUCUGUGCUGCAUCCACUCUGGCAUCUGGGGUCCCAUCGCGUUUCCGUGGCAGUGGAUCUGGGACACAGUUCACUCUCACCAUCAGCAGUGUGAAGGCUGAAGAUGUUGCCACCUAUUACUGUCAUCAGCAUAGCAGUUACCCUCCCACAGUGUUCCAGCCCUAA